rnacentral:rRNA from 1 species
UGAGUAACACGUAUGCAAUCCACCUGUAACAGGGGGAUAACCCGGAGAAAUCCGGACUAAUACCCCAUAAUAUGGGCGCUCCGCAUGGAGAGCCCAUUAAAGAGAGCAAUUUUGGUUACAGACGAGCAUGCGCUCCAUUAGCCAGUUGGCGGGGUAACGGCCCACCAAAGCGACGAUGGAUAGGGGUUCUGAGAGGAAGGUCCCCCACAUUGGAACUGAGACACGGCCCAG